AUCUUUGUUCCAAUAUUUGGUUAUAUUUGACCACAUGGAAACUACUGGUGACAACCGAUUUGUGGAUGAUUGCUCGUAGACAGCAUAAAAGACCAUCAUCUUGAGUCGAGCGUCAUCUGCCGAAUCAAAAUGGGAAAGCAUACUUGAGUGGCAGCCAUUGCAGUUAUCGGCGUUGCAAUCCCUGGGUUCAAUAUCCUCAAUGUGGCUAUUUUGAAUACUGUACCAAUUAUGGAUACUGUUGUAGCUACUAUGGACACGGAGGAGGCCAUCGGCAAUACUAAGUCGAACAAAACCAGACAUCUGAAACAUGGCAACAAACAGGUUGGACUGCUGACUCAGUCCCAUCUCUUUUUGAUCUUUUUUUCAAAUCAUUAAAACAAUGUAAUAAAACUUGACAUACAAUAAUAAAAUGGUAUCACUUUC
rnacentral:sRNA from 1 species